ACGGCCAUACCAUACUGAAUAUACCGGUUCUCAUUAGAUCACAGAAGUUCAUUGGGCGCGGUCAGUACUUGGGUGGGUGACCACCUG